rnacentral:rRNA from 1 species
UACAGAGGGUGCGAGCGUUAAUCGGAAUUACUGGGCGUAAAGCGUGCGUAGACGGUUAUUUAAGUCGGAUGUGAAAAGCCCCGGGCUCAACCUGGGAAUUGCAUUCGAGACUGAAUAGCUAGGGUGCGGUAGAGGGAAGCGGAAUUUCCGGUGUAGCGGUGAAAUGCGUAGAUAUCGGAAGGAACAUCAGUGGCGAAAAGCGGCU